AUCUUCGGACCUGGCGCUAGUAGAUGAGCCCGCGUGAGAUUAGCUUGUUGGUGGGGUAAUGGCCUACCAAGGCAACGAUCUCUAGCUGGUCUGAGAGGACGAUCAGCCACACUGGGACUGAGACACGGCCCAGACUCCUACGGGAGGCAGCAGUGGGGAAUAUUGGACAAUGGGCGAAAGCCUGAUCCAGCAAUGCCGCGUGUGUGAAGAAGGCCUGAGGGUUGUAAAGCACUUUCAAUCGUGAAGAAAAGUUGCAGGCUAAUACCCUGUGACCUUGACGUUAACGAUACAAGAAGCACCGGCUAACUCCGUG
rnacentral:rRNA from 1 species